AGAGUGAACGCUGGCGGUAGGCCUAACACAUGCAAGUCGAACGGCAGCACGGUAAGAGCUUGCUCUUAUGGGUGGCGAGUGGCGGACGGGUGAGGAAUACAUCGGAAUCUACCUUUUGGUGGGGGAUAACGUAGGGAAACUUACGCUAAUACCGCAUACGCCCUUCGGGGGAAAGCCGGGGACCAGCAAUGGCCUGGCGCUGAUAGAUGAGCCGAUGUCGGAUUAGCUAGUUGGUGAGGUAAUGGCUCACCAAGGCGACGAUCCGUAGCUGGUCUGAGAGGAUGAUCAGCCACACGUGGAACUGAGACACGGUCCAGACCUCCGUACGGGAGGCAGCAGGUGGGGAAUAGUUGGACAAGUGGGGCGACAAGCCUAGACUCCAGCCCAUACCCGCGGUGGGUAGAAGAAGGUCCGUUCGGGUUACGUAAACGUCCCGUUUUAGUAGGGUAAAAGAAAAGUCGUAAGUUUACGGUUAACGUUACCGGUUACGUUACGUA
rnacentral:rRNA from 1 species